rnacentral:lncRNA from 1 species
UUUUAUCAUUAAACAAGAAUGUGUCCAAAGUACACGGAUGCCCCACUCGCACUAUCCUUUACCAUGUUCCAUGGACCGUGAAACUGGGUAAUAAUCUAAUUUGGCAUUAAAAUUAGAAAGAUUAUACUAUAGGGAACAUAUGUACUAAGUUUCAAGUUGAUUGGACUUCAAUUUUAUCAAAAACUACCUUGACCAAAAACUUUAACCUGAAACUCCCACUUUCAUUUUCUAUGUUUAGUGGACCGUGAAAUUGGGGUCAAAAGUCUAAUUUGGCUUUAAAAUUAAAAAGAUCAUAUCAUAAGCAACAAGUUUACUAAGUUUCAAGUUGAUUGGACUUCAGCUUCAUCAAAAACUACCUUGACCAAAAACUUUAACCUGAACGGACGGACGAACGGAAGCACAGACGGAUGGACGGACGGACGAACGGAGCCACAGACCAGAAAACAUAAUGCCCCUCUACUAUCGUAGGUGGGGCAUAAAAAAUCUUUUUUUUAAGGUAGUCGCUGAACCAUGAAAAUGAGGUCAAGGACAUAAGACAAUGUGACCAAUGGAAACUUCGCAACAUGAGGCAUCUAUAUACAAAGUAUGAAGCAUACAGGUCUUCCACCUUCUAAUAUAUAAAGCUAACACCGCCACCAGAUCAAUAUCCCUGUCAAAUUUUCUGCUACAAAAGUUGCAGGCUCGACAAAAAUGAUCCAUUUUGUUUACAAACAUGAACAUAGUUUUAAGGAAAUACGUACAUUAUGACUUUGCUAUCUGCCAUGAAUGUGUCUUCUUCCGUCAAGGAGGGCAACAUAAAUUAAAGAAAUUUAACAAAAGCUCUUAAUUUAUAUCAGCUUUAAAGAGAAGCUAUUUGCUGUUACAAUUUUUCAGAAUUUUUUAUCAGUGAAAAUACAGCCAAUUAUGAAAAUCUAUUUUGGUGCACCAGCCAUUAGCCUUGCUAUCAAAUUUCACAAAUUGGUAAAUAUUAAAAUUAAAUUUUCUAAACACUUAAAAUUGACAAACUCAUUUAUACUCUGGAGAAACUAUAAUAAGUCUUGGGUCAAAGUCAAUCCAAUGUUUUAAUGCAUGAACAUUUAUCAAUGCAACUAUCAAAAACAUGAUUUCAUCAUAACACAUCAAUAUAGAGGUCAAUAAUGACUAUGUUUUUUGAAGGAGCUAGUUCCAGUGGUCACUAGUCCCAUUUAACUUGGAUAUUAUGUCUAAAGUCUUUAGUCUAGGUGCAGUGUUUGUCUUCAGUCCAGGUGCAGUGUUUGUCUUCAGUCCAGGUGCAGUGUUUGUCUUCAGUCCAGGUGCAGUACAUAGGAUCUACAGAGUACAGAUGAGUAAAAUUAUUUUUAAUCAAAAUUUUCUUCACAAAUUUGUAAUAUAUAUGGUGUAUGACUUAGAAUACACUUAGAAGUUUAGUGUGCUUAUAGGGAUUCAUGCGGUUACAACUUAUUGUUAAAAGAAAUGGCAUCCAACAUCAUAACCAGUUU